CAGAGAUGGAAUUCCAUCUGAAUCUUGCUGUGAUUUUUUGGAUGAACUCAUGGGAUGUCAUUGCAGAUUCAAGGUUGUAUGUGUUUGUAAUUUGGGUUUAGUAUUGAUCAAUCACUUCUGGGCCAGAGGGGAAAUGUGCAUGUGAAUUUUGAAAAUAAAAAUUUGAAAACAUCCCUGAAGAUAGUGACCCGUUGCUCCAUUCAUGGGUAUUUGAGCUUAUACAGGUGUCUCAGGCUGUUGUCAUGAAGUACCACAAAGCUGGUGGCUUAAAACACACCUUUAUUUAUCUUACAGCCCCAGGAGUCAGAAGCCCAGAUGGGUCUCCUGACUAAAAUCAACACGUGCCAGGGCUGUGCUCCUUCUGCAGACUCGAGAGGAAUGCUGUUCCAGCUUUCAGAAGCGUCCACACCCGUGGGCUGUGGCCCCAUGUCCCUCCAACCUCUGCCUCCCAAGUCACACCUCCUCUUGCCUCCCUGCUUCACUUCUGAGGACCCCAUCCUGCAUAAUCCUCUCCUCACCUCCAAAUCCUUAAUUGAAUUAUGCUUGCAGAAUCCUUUCUACCAGGUGAGGCACCAUAUUCACACGUUCCAGAGAUUAGGAUGUGGACACGAGUGGUGGUGGUUGUCCUGCUACCCAGAGUUCUUCCCGAUUCCUUUCUAUUUUACCAGAGACAAAGCUAACAUCUUUGUACAUGUCUAUAUGCACUGGUUAUUUCCUGAGGAAAAAAUCCUGAGUCACGUUGCGUGGAAUGGCUGCCCAAGUGGACCCUCCAUGGAAAUAUGAACCAACUGUGAAUGGUCCCUUAUUCCCAAUAACCAAACGUUAGAAGCAACCCAGUGUCCACCAGUGGAUGACCAGAUAAACAAGCUGUGUGUAUCUAUGCAGUGGAAUGUUAUCAACUUAAAGAAGGAAGAGAAUUGGUGAGCCUCAAGGACAUUAUGCUCAAUGAAGUAAGCCAGUCAUGAAAGGACAAAUUUUACUCCUGUGAGGUCCAUAGGGUUCUCAAAUGCAUAGAGACAGAACAUUGACAGUGGUACCAGGGGUUGGGGGUGGGGAGAUGGUGUUUAAUGGAGACAGAGCUUCAUUUGGGGAAGAUGAGGAGAGCUAUGGAUGGAUGACGGGGUUGGCUGCACAAUAAUAUGGAAGUCCUUAAUGCCACCAAAUGUGCACUUGAAAUGGUUAAGAGGGUAUAUUUUACCCUCUAUUUUGGUAUGUUUUACCAAAAUUCAAUUUUUGAAAAGAUAGAAUGAGAAACUUGAAUCCUCACAACAUAUUGGAAAACAAACCGUUUCACUUGCCAUAAACAGAAGGAAGAGGGAGAUGUGGAGAAGUUGGGGGAGGGAAAGCAAAUGACGAUUACCAAAAUUUUAACAAAUAUGAUUACUAUUUUAUUUUUUUAUUAUUUUUAAAGAUUUUAUUUAUUUACGCAUGAGAGACACAGAGAGAGGCAGAGACACAGGCAGAGGGAGAAGCAGGCUCCCCAUAGGGAGCCCAAUGUGGGACUGGAUCCCAGAACCCUGGAUCACACCCUGAGCCAAAGGCAAAUGCUCAACCACUGAGUUGCCCAGGGGCCUUGAAGAUUACUAUUUUAAAAACAAAACCCAAUAAAAAAUGAUGGCUUACUCA
ensembl:lncRNA